AUUGAACGCUGGCGGCAUGCCUUACACAUGCAAGUCGAACGGUAACAGGUCUUCGGAUGCUGACGAGUGGCGAACGGGUGAGUAAUACAUCGGAACGUGCCCGAGAGUGGGGGAUAACGAGGCGAAAGCUUUGCUAAUACCGCAUACGAUCUCAGGAUGAAAGCAGGGGACCGCAAGGCCUUGCGCUCACGGAGCGGCCGAUGGCAGAGUAGGUAGUUGGUGGGAUAAAAGCUUACCAAGCCGACGAUCUGUAGCUGGUCUGAGAGGACGACCGGCCCAACUGGGACUGAGACACGGCCCAGACUCCUACGGGAGGCAGCAGGGGGGAAUUUUGGACAAUGGGCGCAAGCCUGAUCCAGCCAUGCCGCGUGCAGGAUGAAGGCCUUCGGGUUGUAAACUGCUUUUGUACGGAACGAAAAGACUCCUUCUAAUAAAGGGGGUCCAUGACGGUACCGUAAGAAUAAGCACCGGCUAACUACGUGCCAGCCGCCGCCGUAAGAC
rnacentral:rRNA from 1 species